rnacentral:rRNA from 1 species
UACGUAGGGUGCGAGCGUUGUCCGGAAUUAUUGGGCGUAAAGAGCUCGUAGGCGGCUUGUCGCGUCGGAUGUGAAAGCCCGGGGCUUAACUCCGGGUCUGCAUUCGAUACGGGCAGGCUAGAGUUCGGUAGGGGAGAUCGGAAUUCCUGGUGUAGCGGUGAAAUGCGCAGAUAUCAGGAGGAACACCGGUGGCGAAGGCAGGUCUCUGGGCUGACACUGACGCUCAUGCACGAAAGCGUGGGGAGCAAACAGG